rnacentral:rRNA from 1 species
UGGGGAAUAUUGGACAAUGGGGGCAACCCUGAUCCAGCAAUGCCGCGUGAGUGAUGAAGGCCUUAGGGUUGUAAAGCUCUUUCGCACGCGACGAUGAUGACGGUAGCGUGAGAAGAAGCCCCGGCUAACUUCGUGCCAGCAGCCGCGGUAAUACGAAGGGGGCUAGCGUUGUUCGGAAUUACUGGGCGUAAAGGGCGCGUAGGCGGUCCUAUCAGUCAGGCGUGAAAGCCCCGGGCUCAACCUGGGAACUGCGCUUGAUACUGUAGGGCUAGAGUUUCGGAGAGGAUGGUGGAAUUCCCAGUGUAGAGGUGAAAUUCGUAGAUAUUGGGAAGAACACCGGUGGCGAAGGCGACCAUCUGGACGAACACUGACGCUGAGGCGCGAAAGCGUGGGGAGCAAACA